GACGAACCGUGCGAACGUUAUUCGGAUUUAUUGGGCUUAAAGAGUGCGUAGGUGGCAGUGUAAGUCGGGGGUGAAAUACUAUCGGCUCAACCGUGGAAUUGCCUUCGAUACUGCAUUGCUUGAGGGGGAUAGGGGCAAUCGGAAUUCUCGGUGUAGCGGUGAAAUGCGUAGAUAUCGAGAGGAACACCUGAGGUGAAGACGGGUUGCUGGGCCGACACUGACGCUGAGUGCGCGAAAGCCAGGGGAGCAAACGGG
rnacentral:rRNA from 1 species